GCAGUAGCCACGGUAAUACGAGGGGGGCAAGCGUUGUUCGGAAUUAUUGGGCGUAAAGGGUGCGUAGGCGGUUUGACAAGUCUUAUGUGAAAUCUUCGGGCUCAACCCGAAGUCUGCAUAGGAAACUGUCGGGCUUGAGUAUUGGAGAGGUGAGUGGAAUUUCCGGUGUAGCGGUGAGAUGCGUAGAUAUCGGAAGGAACACCUGUGGCGAAAGCGGCUCACUGGACAAUAACUGACGCUGAUGCACGAAAGCUAGGGGAGCAAACAGGAUUAGAUACCCCAGUAGUCCCUGUCUCUUAUAU
rnacentral:rRNA from 1 species